rnacentral:rRNA from 1 species
GAUGAACGCUGGCGGCGUGCCUAAUACAUGCAAGUCGAGCGAACAGACGAGAAGCUUGCUCCUCUGACGUUAGCGGCGGACGGGUGAGUAACACGUGGAUAACCUACCUAUAAGACUGGGAUAACUUCGGGAAACCGGAGCUAAUACCGGAUGAUAUAUUGAACCGCAUGGUUCAAUAGUGAAAGACGGUUUUGCUGUCACUUAUAGAUGGAUCCGCGCUGCAUUAGCUAGUUGGUAAGGUAACGGCUUACCAAGGCAACGAUGCGUAGCCGACCUGAGAGGGUGAUCGGCCACACUGGAACUGAGACACGGUCCAGACUCCUACGGGAGGCAGCAGUAGGGAAUCUUCCGCAAUGGGCGAAAGCCUGACGGAGCAACGCCGCGUGAGUGAUGAAGGUCUUCGGAUCGUAAAACUCUGUUAUUAGGGAAGAACAAAUGUGUAAGUAACUGUGCACAUCUUGACGGUACCUAAUCAGAAAGCCACGGCUAACUACGUG